UUCCGGUUGAUCCUGCCGGACCCGACUGCUAUUUGGGUGAGGAUAACCAUGCGAGUUGUAUGGGAUACCUAAAUUUCCCAUAGCAAACUGCUUAGUAACACAUGAUCAACUUACCCUAUGGAGAAAUAUAACCUCGGGAAACUGAGGAUAAUGCUUCAUAGUUGAAUAGGCUUGGAAAAGUUUUUCAAUGAAAGGGAUAAGAUAAAUGGUUCUUAUCUGCCAUAGGAUAGGAUCGUGCUCGAUUAUGGUUGUUGGUGAGGUAACGGCUCACCAAGCCGAUAAUCGAUAGGGGCCGUGAGAGCGGGAGCCCCAAGAUGGGUACUGAGACAGCGACCCAGGCCUUACGAGGCGCAGCAGGUACGAAACCUCCGCAAUAUACGAAAGUGUGACGGGGUUACCCAAAGUGUUCUUAUAGAACUGUGGCAGGUGAGUAAUGUCCCCUGCUAGAAAGGAGAGGGCAAGGCUGGUGCCAGCCGCCGCGGUAAAACCAGCUCUUCAAGUGGUCGGGAUAAUUAUUGGGCUUAAAGUGUCCGUAGCCGGUUUAGUAAGUUCCUGGUAAAAUCAGGUAGCUUAACUAUCUGUAUGCUAGGAAUACUGCUAUACUAGAGGGCGGGAGAGGUCUGAGGUACUACAGGGGUAGGGGUGAAAUCUUAUAAUCCUUGUAGGACUACCAGUGGCGAAGGCGUCAGACUGGAACGCGCCUGACGGUGAGGGACGAAAGCCAGGGGAGCGAACCGGAUUAGAUACCCGGGUAGUCCUGGCCGUAAACGAUGCAUACUAGGUGAUGGUACGGCCAUGAGCCGCGUCAGUGCCGUAGGGAAACCGUUAAGUGUGCCGCCUGGGAAGUACGGUCGCAAGGCUAAAACUUAAAGGAAUUGGCGGGGGAGCACCACAAGGGGUGAAGCCUGCGGUUCAAUUGGAUUCAACGCCGGG
rnacentral:rRNA from 1 species